rnacentral:rRNA from 1 species
GAUGAACGCUGGCGGCAUGCCUAACACAUGCAAGUCGAUCGGUAAGGCUCUUCGGAGUACACGAGAGGCGGACGGCUGAGUAACGCGUAGGAACACACCCUGCAGUGAGGGAUAAGACACCGAAAGGUGUUCUAAUACCGCAUACGGUCUUCGGAUUAAAGCAUUUAUGCGCUGAAGGAGUGGCCUGCGUCAUAUUAGAUAGUUGGUGAGGUAAUGGCUCACCAAGUCGAUGAUGUGUAGCUGGCCUGAGAGGAUGAUCAGCCAGACUGGAACUGAGACACGGUCCAGACUCCUACGGGAGGCAGCAGUGAGGAAUAUUUCACAAUGAGCGAAAGCUUGAUGGAGCAAUGCCGCGUGCAGGAUGAAGGCCCUCGGGUUGUAAACUGCUUUUAUAAGAGAAGAUUAUGACGGCAACUUAUGAAUAAGGGACGGCUAACUACGUG